CUCAGGACACAGCUCAUCUCCCGUUCCAAAGAGGGCUCGCUCUCUCUCCACCUGCUCUAUUUUAUGCCUGAUAUCAGAAGGCAGCAAACAUGAAAAGCAUUUACUUUGUGGCUGGAUUAUUUGUGAUGCUUGUCCAAGGCAGCUGGCAGUGUUCCCUUCAGGACACAGAGGAGAAGUCCAGCCUGUACCCAGCUCCCCAGGCAGACUCACUCGAUAAUCUGCAUCAGAUAAAUGAAGAGAAGCGCUACGCUGAAGGAACGUUUAUCAGUGACUACAGCAA